rnacentral:lncRNA from 1 species
UUAAAACAAAAUAGAAGGAUCAUGUGGUCUGGAGACAUGCCAACACAUCGCCAGAGCCAGAGCUCCGGUCUUCUUCUCCGGUGGACCUCACCGGACUGGUCCACCUUUAACCAUCACCAAAAUAAAAAAGGAGGACGUGAAUUUAAAGUAAAAAUGCUCAUGAACUCAAAUCUGGCAUCAAUUUCACCUAACUCCAAGUAUAUAGAAAGAUA